rnacentral:rRNA from 1 species
CAGUCGCCGCGGUAAUACGGAGGGAGCUAGCGUUGUUCGGAAUUACUGGGCGUAAAGCGCGCGUAGGCGGUUACUCAAGUCAGAGGUGAAAGCCCGGGGCUCAACCCCGGAACUGCCUUUGAAACUAGGUGACUAGAAUCUUGGAGAGGUCAGUGGAAUUCCGAGUGUAGAGGUGAAAUUCGUAGAUAUUCGGAAGAACACCAGUGGCGAAGGCGACUGACUGGACAAGUAUUGACGCUGAGGUGCGAAAGCGUGGGGAGCAAACAGGAUUAGAUACCCCCGUAGUCCCUGUCUCUUAUAU